UCGACUCCGUGAAGUCGGAAUCGCUAGUAAUCGCAAAUCAGAAUGUUGCGGUGAAUACGUUCCCGGGCCUUGUACACACCGCCCGUCACACCAUGGGAGUGGGUUGCACCAGAAGUAGAUAGCUUAACCUUCGGGAGGGCGUUUACCACGGUGUGAUUCAUGACUGGGGUGAAGUCGUAACAAGGUAACCCUAGGGGAACCUGGGGUUGGAUCACCUCCUUACCUUAAAGA
rnacentral:rRNA from 1 species